AUACGUAGGUGGCGAGCGUUGUCCGGAUUUACUGGGUGUAAAGGGCGAGUAGGCGGGCUUGCAAGUCAGAUGUGAAAUACCGAGGCUCAACUUCGGGGCUGCAUUUGAAACUGCGAGUCUUGAGUGAUGGAGAGGCAGGGGGAAUUCCCCGGGGAGCGGGAAAAUGCAUAGAUAUUGGGAAGAACACCAGUGGCGAAGGCGGCCUGCUGGACAUUAACUGACGCUGAGGAGCGAAAGUGUGGGGAGCAAACAGGAUUAGAUACCCUGGUAGUCCACACCGUAAACGAUGGAUACUAGGUGUGUGGGGACUGACCCCCUGCGUGCCGCAGUUAACACAAUAAGUAUCCCACCUGGGGAGUACGAUCGCAAGAUUGAAACUCAAAUGAAUUGACGGGG
rnacentral:rRNA from 1 species